GAUGAACGCUGGCGGCGUGCUUAACACAUGCAAGUCGAACGGUGAAGGAGAGCUUGCUCUCCGGAUCAGUGGCGAACGGGUGAGUAACACGUGAGCAAUCUGCCCCUGACUCUGGGAUAAGCGCUGGAAACGGCGUCUAAUACCGGAUACGAGCUGCGAAGGCAUCUUCAGCAGCUGGAAAGAACUUCGGUCAGGGAGUAGCUCGCGGCCUAUCAGCUAGUUGGUGAGGUAAUGGCUCACCAAGGCGUCGAAGGGUAGCCGGCCUGAGAGGGUGACCGGCCACACUGGGACUGAGACACGGCCCAGACUCCUACGGGAGGCAGCAGUGGGGAAUAUUGCACAAUGGGCGCAAGCCUGAUGCAGCAACGCCGCGUGAGGGACGACGGCCUUCGGGUUGUAAACCUCUUUUAGCAGGGACGAAGCGAAAGUGACGGUACCUGCAGAAAAAGCACCGGCUAACUACGUGCCAGCAGCCGCCGCGG
rnacentral:rRNA from 1 species